CCGGGCCGCCUCCCACUACGACUCCGCCGCCCCACCGGCGCCGCGGAUGACGUGCUCGUGCAGCUCGCCCAACAAGUCCCGGGUAAUGGCCUUUCUAAUACAGUUGCUUGUGCGGCAACGUAUGCUUGUGGUGGCUGUGAGCCUAUGAAUGCAUCAAACAUUAGGUACAUUAGUGACUGUAAUGCUUUGAGCCUCUGUAUUGAUUUUGAAGUGACUGAAAUGAAACCUUAAUUCUUUCUGUUUUCUUAUAGUUUGAUAGUGAUAUAGUACCAUAAGGUCAAUUUGGAUAUAUAAUCUAGAGUUUGUUCAGAAUUAUUGGUGUUUCAUGUUGGAAGCUACCAGAUGUGGAAUCACUAACUAAAAACUCGUGCUUGCACCAAUUCUGUGGGGGCUGGGGAUAUUAUGUUAAAUGGUUAAAUGCCCUCUAGUUCGUAUUUGAGUAGUACCAUAUAGUAUUCUGUACAUCUGCAGUGUGCACUCUUUCCAUUUAAUCAUCUUAAGAAUUCAGUUUCAAUGUUUAGAAAUUGCUUUAACAAAUACCAAACUCCCAUCGCUCAAUAAGAAAUCACAUGCAUUUCUUGGUUUAUAAUUCUUUAGUUCUGUUAUAUUUUCCAGAGAUAGUAUAUUGUUUUGCACAAGCUUUUAUUCAUGUUUUCCUGUUAUUGAGUCAUUCGAUAAUCUAUCUGUGUAACUGAUACUAUUAAGUGAUUGAGCUUAUACAUGCUGAUAAUGUGCACGUUUUACUGCAGCCCCUCUGUUAGUUAUAAGGGAAUUUCUAUCUUGUAAACUGAACAAGAGUAAAUUUAAUCAUGUGGGAAACAUUUUACAGAGGAACUGUGGGCUAUGAAGCUGGGCUUGAGGUUGCUUCAAGAAAGGGCCAGACCUGAUUCAUUUUGGUGGCCAUAUAUUGCCAAUUUGCCAGAGACAUUUACCGUUCCAAUCUUCUUUCCUGGGGAUGACAUAAAGAAUUUGCAGUAUGCCCCUCUCCUCCACCAGGUUGUUAAAGAUAUGUGGUCAUAUCUAGUUGAGGC
rnacentral:lncRNA from 1 species